CUGAGCUGGGAGGAGACGCUGAUACCAGCAGGACCGUGUUCUGGCCAGAAGGGGGCCUCGUGCUGCAGGGGAGUGCGCCGAGGGAAAAAGCUCCGGGAUGAUGGCGCCUGUCCUCCAGCCGUGUUUCAGCGUCAGGUCCUGCAAAAAAAAAAGGGACCGGAAUUGUCAAUUAAUCAGGAAUUCUCAUGUGUUCGUGUGAGUCAGAGGCUUUAAGUACAUAUUAUACAGCACAGACGGAUUGUUAUUGUGUUUCUGCUGUUGUACCACAGUGGUGUGCUAACAUUUGUGAUUACCUGCUGAGACAACGACGACAUAAAAACACCACGACAGCAGCACCACUGCAAUGCCGCGCUGGAUCUGUGUGACUGCACAGUCUCAGUGGGCCUAGUGUUUCAUACUCAGAAUAAUAUGACAAUGCUGACUACCCCAAACACAAGAUGGAAUUUAGAUUCAUCUGAACCUCUCUGGUUGUAGGUAUUCCCCUAAAGCUCCUUAGGUGACAAGUGCAAACCAAUUGUCUUCAACGAAUUGAAGACAGAACUUUUUCUCGGGAUUCUUCUGUGUACAUAAUUGUUGGAAAAAUAACUAUUUCAACAGGACUGUGACUUCACAAAUCACAGGAUGUUUAACUUUUAUGGUCUGAUGGUCUUGCUUGGAGGGGGGCACCAGGAAGUCCAAAUAUUGAUCAGUAUUCUUCUUCAAUCACUGAUAAAAAGUUGAUCAUAGGUUCAUCUAAGAGAGGAGAAUUCAUCUGCUUAUCUGGAGCCCCUUCGCAAUGACAAUGGCGGCCCUGUUUCCGGAGAACAUAAGAACUCGCUUUGGGCCGGUUCGGACCGCAUCCCCUCCCGUUGCUGUCCGUCACACUGUAUAGAUGACAGAGGCUCAGAGACGGAUCUUUGAGCAGCAACUUGGAAAUAUGACUGGUGUGUAGUUUCAACUCUGCUCAUUCUUGCAAGAGUAAAUUGCCUGAAUGAUUUCUAACAAUAAUCUAAUAAAACUGUAUAAAACUGGACUAAAACAUG